UACGAAGGGGGCUAGCGUUGCUCGGAAUCUCUGGGCGUAAAGGGUGCGUAGGCGGGCCUUUAAGUCAGGGGUGAAAUCCUGGAGCUCAACUCCAGAACUGCCUUUGAUACUGAGGAUCUUGAGUUCGGGAGAGGUGAGUGGAACUGCGAGUGUAGAGGUGAAAUUCGUAGAUAUUCGCAAGAACACCAGUGGCGAAGGCGGCUCACUGGCCCGAUACUGACGCUGAGGCACGAAAGCGUGGGGAGCAAACAGG
rnacentral:rRNA from 1 species